rnacentral:piRNA from 1 species
GAUUCAUGGACUCACUGGCAGCUAGAC